rnacentral:tRNA from 1 species
GGCCCCGUGGUGUAGCGGUUAACAUGUCGCCCUGUCACGGCGAAGAUCGUCAGUUCAUGUCACGGCGAAGAUCGUCAGUUCAAAUCUGAUCGGGGUCGCCA